UGGGGAAUAUUGCACAAUGGGCGCAAGCCUGAUGCAGCCAUGCCGCGUGUAUGAAGAAGGCCUUCGGGUUGUAAAGUACUUUCAGCGGGGAGGAAGGGAGUAAAGUUAAUACCUUUGCUCAUUGACGUUACCCGCAGAAGAAGCACCGGCUAACUCCGUGCCAGCAGCCGCGGUAAUACGGAGGGUGCAAGCGUUAAUCGGAAUUACUGGGCGUAAAGCGCACGCAGGCGGUUUGUUAAGUCAGAUGUGAAAUCCCCGGGCUCAACCUGGGAACUGCAUCUGAUACUGGUCAGCUAGAGUCUUGUAGAGGGGGGUAGAAUUCCAUGUGUGGCGGUGAAAUGCGUAGAGAUGUGGAGGAAUACCGGUGGCGAAGGCGGCCCCCUGGACAAAGACUGACGCUCAGGUGCGAAAGCGUGGGGAGCAAACAGG
rnacentral:rRNA from 1 species